AACGAACGCUGGCGGCAGGCUUAACACAUGCAAGUCGAGCGCCCCGCAAGGGGAGCGGCAGACGGGUGAGUAACGCGUGGGAAUCUACCCAUCUCUACGGAAUAACGCAUGGAAACAUGUGCUAAUACCGUGUACGUCCUUCGGGAGAAAGAUUUAUCGGAGAUGGAUGAGCCCGCGUUGGAUUAGCUAGUUGGUGGGGUAAAGGCCUACCAAGGCGACGAUUCAUAGCUGGUCUGAGAGGAUGAUCAGCCACACUGGGACUGAGACACGGCCCAGACUCCUACGGGAGGCGGCAGUGGGGAAUAUUGGACAAUGGGGGCAAGCCUGAACCAGCCAAGCCGCGAGAGUGAUGAAGGCCCUAGGGUUGUAAAGCUCUUUCACCGGUGAAGGUAAUGACGGUAACCGGAGAAGAAGCCCCGGCUAACUUCGUGCCAGCCGCCGCCGUAAAAC
rnacentral:rRNA from 1 species